rnacentral:rRNA from 1 species
AUGAGUUUCUCAGGCAGCGUGUUGCAUCCACGGCUUUCUGCUGGUCUCUAUUUUUCAAGACAAGAGAAAGUUGUUGAUCCUUUUCUUCUCCAAAUUUAUUCAUUAAUCAGAUGGGUUACAACCGAUGGGAAUAGAACAAAUGGACCCACUUUGCUUGUCAGCGAUCGGAACAAGUAUAAGUCGAUGCUUAUCCGUACAUAUUCUACUGUGUGGAUGAUUGGCGGCUUUGCAUUCCUAGUUUAUAUGGGCCAUCUUUAUAUCUGGGCCAUGGUGGUUGUCAUUCAAAUAUUCAUGGCGACAGAGCUUUUCAACCUACUCAGAAAAUCCAGUGAAGAGAAGCAACUGCCAGGGUUCAGGCUCCUAAAUUGGCACUUCUUUUUCACGGCAAUGUUGUUUACAUAUGGACGCUUUCUUAGUCGGGAGCUUGUUAACACAGUAUCUUCAGAUCACUUGUUGUAUAAGCUCGUCAGCGGCCUAAUAAAGUAUCAGAUGUUUAUUUGCUAUUUUCUUUAUAUUUCAGGAUUUGUAUGGUUUAUUUUGACACUGAAGAAAAAGACAUACAAAUACCAGUUCAAACAGUAUGCCUGGACACACAUGAUUCUUUUAACGGUUUUUGCACAAUCUUCUUUCACGGUGGCAAAUAUAUUUGAAGGAAUGUUCUGGUUUCUUCUACCUGCUUCACUCAUUGUGAUCAAUGACAUUGCCGCCUAUUUAUUUGGGUUCUUUCUCGGGAGAACACCAUUGAUCAAGUUAUCUCCAAAGAAAACAUGGGAAGGCUUUAUUGGUGCAUCAGUGACAACCAUCAUCUCUGCUUUCCUGUUAGCAAAUGUAAUGGGUCGCUCCCAGUGGUUUACAUGCCCAAGAAAGGACCUGUCAACAGGGUGGCUUCAGUGUGAUCCUGGCCCUAUGUUUAAGCCAGAGCAUUAUUAUCUGGGAGAUUGGGCACCCCAUUGGUUUCCAUGGAAAGAAGUGUUCCUAAUGCCUGUGCAGUGGCAUGCUUUAGCCCUUGGUUUGUUUGCAUCGAUAAUUGCACCAUUCGGUGGAUUUUUCGCAAGUGGCUUCAAGAGGGCUUUUAAAAUAAAGGAUUUUGGCGACAGUAUACCUGGGCAUGGUGGAAUCACUGACCGAAUGGACUGUCAAAUGGUUAUGGCAGUUUUUGCAUACAUAUACCACCAAUCGUUCAUCUCGCCCCACAAUUUCUCUGUUGACGCAAUCUUGGAUCAGAUCUUAAGAAACCUGACGUACGAGGAGCAGAGAAACUUGUAUGAGCAACUUGGGGAGAUGUUGGGCAACUUAUGCAAAGCUGAUAAACUCGCUGCUUGCUUAUGA